CGGGGUGGAGUAACGGCGGUGGGUAACCCGCCUUGUACGUGGGGACAACAGUUGGAAACGACUGCUAAUACCGCAUAAGCGCACAGCUUCGCAUGAAGCAGUGUGAAAAACUCCGGUGGUACAAGAUGGACCCGCGUCUGAUUAGCUGGUUGGUGAGGUAACGGCCCACCAAGGCGACGAUCAGUAGCCGGCCUGAGAGGGUGAACGGCCACAUUGGGACUGAGACACGGCCCAA
rnacentral:rRNA from 1 species